GACGAACCGUGCAAACGUUGUUCGGAAUCACUGGGCUUAAAGGGCGCGUAGGCGGGUUCCCAAGUCUGUGGUGAAAGCCCCCGGCUUAACCGGGGAAGUGCCGUGGAUACUGGGGACCUCGAGGAGGGUAGGGGCAUCUGGAACAGCCGGUGGAGCGGUGAAAUGCGUUGAUAUCGGCUGGAACUCCGGUGGCGAAGGCGAGGUGCUGGACCCUUUCUGACGCUGAGUGCGCGAAAGCCAGGGGAGCAAACGGG
rnacentral:rRNA from 1 species